UACGGAGGGUGCAAGCGUUAUCCGGAUUCACUGGGUUUAAAGGGUACGUAGGUGGGCAGGUAAGUCAGUGGUGAAAUCUCCGGGCUUAACUCGGAAACUGCCAUUGAUACUAUCUGUCUUGAAUACCGUGGAGGUCAGCGGAAUAUGUCAUGUAGCGGUGAAAUGCUUAGAUAUGACAUAGAACACCAAUUGCGAAGGCAGCUGGCUACACGAAUAUUGACACUGAUGCACGAAAGCGUGGGGAUCAAACAGG
rnacentral:rRNA from 1 species